rnacentral:rRNA from 1 species
CCUACGGGUGGCAGCAGUGGAGAAUAUUUCGCAAUGGGCGAAAGCCUGACGCAGCGACGCCGCGUGAGGGAUGAAGGUCUUCGGAUCGUAAACCUCUGUCAGCAGGGAAGCACGGUCACUGUGCUAAUCAGCAGUGAAUUGACGGUACCUGCAAAGGAAGCACCGGCUAACUCCGUGCCAGCAGCCGCGGUAAUACGGAGGGUGCGAGCGUUAAUCGGAAUUACUGGGCGUAAGGCGGUCGUAGGCGGUAUGUCAAGUCAAGGGUGAAAGCCCCGGGCUCAACGUGGGAACUGCCUUGGAAACUGGCAAACUGGAGUGUGUGAGAGGAUAGUGGAAUUCCAGGUGUAGGAGUGAAAUCCGUAGAUAUCUGGAGGAACAUCAGUGGCGAAGGCGACUAUCUGGCACAUAACUGACGCUGAGGAGCGAAAGCGUGGGUAGCAAACAGGAUUAGAUACCCCAGUAGUC